CUGUUUCAUUAGUCAUAAAAAUAGAGUUUUUGAUGAUAAGCGCAUCCGUCGAGCUCUCGGGACAUCAACGAUAAAAAAAAUGAACGCUCACUGGUAAAAUCAUAAAAUGAACGCGCAGUUCGAUGUUAUACUCGUAUGAUCUAAAGACCCUAUUUGAUGAUAACUCGACAACUGAAAACGUGAAAUAUGAAAGUUUCAUCAACACAGUGAUAAUAUGAUCCCACAACUUCGUAUACCUACUUGAGGCAUAUACACUUCAAAACUGCACUUGUAAGAAGGCCGCAACACAAUCAAAUCCAGCAAUGACAAUGACAUCGACAUGGAAAUCAUUAUCGAAAUGGCUGAUCAUUGCCUUCUGCAUCCCUUCAGCGAUCUGUUUACUGACCCAUAUUUAUCAAUUUUUUACCCAAGGAGCUAAGCAAAGCAUGGUAAUGAAAUACCUCACCGUAUACUGCUAUUUUCUACUCGUCUUUUACUUUCAUUUGCUUACGAUGACUGCGGCUACCGAGUUACUAGGUGGAUUUUAUCGAGACUACAGCAUGGAAAUUUCAAUCUACGGAAUCAUCAUCAUGAUGUACCUAAUGCUAACGAUAACAAUUUUCAAAUUAAUCGUUACCGUAGACGUAUGUCUGUAUUUUCGUAGAACUGCUCUAUCUUUGAAAAAAGCAACGACUAUUUCCGAUAUGAAAAUUUUCUGUAUUAAUUGCUCUUUAAGCGUAAGCAUUCCCGUAUUACUUCUCUCGAUAUUAUUCUCCUCACAACCGCAACACUAUUGGGUACGAGAAUUUCAGACAGAAAUCACGAUUUUGAGAAUUAUUUACGCGGGCCACUUUGUCUCAGUAUUAGUCUGGUUGUGGUAUACGAUAAAAUUGACUCGCUCGCAUAAGGACGAGUCACAGAUGCAGUUCACUUCUCAAAUUCGUUUUAUCGCUAUGCUCGCUGUAUUUUCUGUUACGUUGAUUGUUUCUGAAUAUGUAUACGACAUAAGUGGAAAAAAGGAAGCGAAUUGGAAAUUUGAUAUCGUUCGUUAUCUAAAAUACUGCAUUGGCGUUAUUGCGGAGGGGAUAUAUAUAGGAGGAUGUUUCACUUUUAAAAAAUAUACCUUUGGUUUUUAUUAAAUAUGAUACCGAAUAGUUAUAUAAGUAUUAAGUACCUACCUACUUUCUUAAAUUAAGAUUUUUGUUCUUAAAUGACUGCCAAAGUCAAACUAAAUGUACCUUAUUUCUGUUCGAAUGAUUUUUGCUGUAAGAUGUAAAUUUUAAAUAUUUUAUCAAAUACAGUUACUUAUUGCUCAG